rnacentral:rRNA from 1 species
AGUGAACGCUGGCGGUAGGCCUAACACAUGCAAGUCGAACGGCAGCACAGUAAGAGCUUGCUCUUACGGGUGGCGAGUGGCGGACGGGUGAGGAAUACAUCGGAAUCUACUUUUUCGUGGGGGAUAACGUAGGGAAACUUACGCUAAUACCGCAUACGACCUACGGGUGAAAGCAGGGGAUCUUCGGACCUUGCGCGAUUGAAUGAGCCGAUGUCGGAUUAGCUAGUUGGCGGGGUAAAGGCCCACCAAGGCGACGAUCCGUAGCUGGUCUGAGAGGAUGAUCAGCUACACUGGAACUGAGACACGGUCCAGACUCCUACGGGAGGCAGCAGUGGGGAAUAUUGGACAAAGGGCGCAAGCCUGAUCCAGCCAUACCGCGUGGGUGAAGAAGGCCUUCGGGUUGUAAAGCCCUUUUGUUGGGAAAGAAAAGCAGCAGGUUAAUACCCCGCUGUUCUGACGGUACCCAAAGAAUAAGCACCGGCUAACUUCGUG